rnacentral:rRNA from 1 species
AACGAACGCUGGCGGCAUGCCUAACACAUGCAAGUCGAACGAGACCUUCGGGCCUAGUGGCGCACGGGUGCGUAACGCGUGGGAACCUGCCCUUAGGUUCCGAAUAACUCCCCGAAAGGGGUGCUAAUACCGGAUAGUGUCUUAGGACCAAAGAUUUAUCGCCUUUGGAUGGGCCCGGGUUGGAUUCGCGAGUUGGUAGGGUAAAAGCCUACCAAGGGGAGGAUGCAUAGCUGGUGUGAGAGGAUGAUUAGCCACGCUGGGACUGAGACACGGCCCAGACUCCUACGGGGGGGAGCAGUGGGGAAUAUUGGACGAGGGGGGAAAGCCUGAUCCAGCAGUGCGGCGGGAGUGAUGAAGGCCUUAGGGUUGUAAAGCUCUUUUAGCCGAGAUGAUAAUGACAGUACCGGGAGAAUAAGCUCCGGCUAACUCCGUG